rnacentral:lncRNA from 1 species
UCUUCAAUCUAUCCUUAUGUUGCUUAUCUCUUGGUAGACUUUACUACACCAGCAGCCACAGCAAAACAGACCACUACAGCUGACCCACACAACACAAUUUACCAAAGUUACCUGGAAAUACAGUCAUUAACUGCUGAAAAUAAUUUGUUCUGGUCUUCAGUUCAUCACACAUUUGUCAUAAUCUCUCUCUCUUUGUCUCACUCACUCUCUCUCUCUCUCUCUCUCUCUCUCUCUCUCUCUCUCUCUCUCUCUCUCUCUCUCUCUCUCUCUCUCUCUCACUCUGCUUAAGACUCUACAACACCUGAGGCCAGCACUACAGAACAAAUAACUAUAGUUGAUAACACAACACAACUGACCACAGUUAGCAGUAAGUACAAUCAAGUUCUGGUGAAAAUAAUUUGUUCAGAAUAUCAGUUCUUCAUAAAAUUUUCAAAAUCUCUCUCUCUCUCUCUCUGCUUUAGACUCUACAACACCUGAGUCCAGCACUACAGAACAAAGUACUACAGCUGACCUCACAACACAAUUUACCAAAGUUACAUGGAAAUACAGUCAUUAACUGCUGAAAAUAAUUUGUUCUGAUGUUCAUUUCAUCGCACAUUUGUCACAAUCUCUCUCUCUCUCUCUCUCUCUUUCUCUCUCUCUCUUUCUCUCUCUCUCUCUCUCUCUCUCUCUCUCUCUCUCUCUCUCUCUCUCUCUCUCUCUCUCUCUCUCUCUCUUUCUUUCUUUCUCUCUCUCUCACUCUCUCACUCUGCUUAAGACUCUACAACACCUGAGUCCAGCACCACAGAACAAAUAACUACAGUUGAUCUCACAACACAAUUUACCACAGUUACCAGUAAAUACAAUCAAGUACUAGUAAAAAUAAUUUGUUCUGAAAUUCAGGUCUUCGCACGUUUGUCACAAUAUCUCUCUCUCCCUCGCUCCCUCGCUCCCUGUCUGUCUGUCUGUCUCUUUCUCUCUCUCUCUCUCUCUCUCUCUCUCUCUCUCUCUCUCUCUCUCUGCUUUAGACUCUACAACACCUGAGUCCAGCACCACAGAACAAAAUACUACAGCUGACCUCACAACACAACUGACCACAGUUACCAGCAAGUACUCUACAACACCUGAGUCCAGCACUACAGAACAAAAUACUACAGCUGACCUCAUAACACAACUGACCACAGUUACCAACUCUACAACACCUCAGGCCAGCACUACAGAACAAAUAACUAUAGUUGAUAACACAACACAACUGACCACAGUUACCAACUCUACAACACCUGAGGCCAGCACUACAGAACAAAAUACUACAGCUGACCUCACAACACAACUGAACACAGUUACAAACUCUAGUGCACCUGCACCCACAACACAACAGAGUACUACAGCUGACCUCACAACACAACUGACCACAGUUACCAACUCUAGUGCACCUGCACCCACAACACAACAGAGUACUACAGCUGACCUCACAACACAACUGACCACAGUUACCAACUCUACCACACCUGAGGCCAGCACUACUGAACAAAUGACCAAAGUUACCAGUAAGUUUCAAGUUCUGGAGAACAAAACAUGUCUGAAGCAAAGUUCACCACCAAAAGAGCUGACACUCAAUCACAAUGUUUCUUCCCUGCUGUAGACUCUACAACAUCUGCACCCACAACAGGACAAAGUACUACAGCUGACCUCACAACACAACUGACCACAGUUACCAGUAUGACGGCUAACAUUUUAUUUCAGAACAAAAUGGCAUUUUUAUUGUCACUAUCUGUCACAACAGAACUGACCACAUUGACCAGGCUAAGUGCUUCUGAAGGCUAUCAAAUAGUACUUUCUGAGGCAUUAUGAGUUUCUGUUAAUCUGCUUCUUUUGUUUAUCACUACGUUACUUCUCUCUUGGUAGACUCUACUACACCUGCAGCUGGAACAAAACAGACCACUACAGCUGAUCCCACAACACAACCGACCACAGACACUAGUAAGUGUCAUCAAUUUCUGUAUAACAAAACCUGUCUAAAGCGGACUUCACCAAACAGACCUAACAAUCUAUGUUACUUCUCUGCUGUAGACUCUACUGCACCCACAAAUACAUGAACUACUGAAUCAACACCAGCAUUAAGUACAAAAACACCAACAACAAUUGCAAAACCUGCUGGUGUGUGUAAGAAUAGAGGAUGUUUCUGAACACUUCUAAAUGAAUCCUGACCACAUUCACCAGUAGGUGAACCAUAGUUCACCAAACAGAUCUAACAAUGUAACAGUCGGUCACUACUGUAUAUUACCGCUUUGUUGUAGCCUCUGCAACACCUACGCCCAGAACAGAACAGAGAACAACCAACACAGGUAGCACAGGUGUUGUUCUGUCAUCCACCUACAGUUUUGUACUAUAGCUUUCACCUACUGCUAUGCCAUGUGUCUCUCCCAACAGGAACUACAGCAACUACUGAACCAACACCAGCAACUACAAAAACGACACCACCACCACCAACAACAACAGCAAUACCACCACCAACACCAACAACAACAGUACCACCACCAUCACCAACAACUGCAAAACCAGCUGGUAUGUGUAAGAAUUGAAGAUGUUUCUGAACACUACUAAAUGAAUCCUGAUUAUGCCAUGAUUAUGAAAAAUCCUGAAUCAAUCAUGAAUAUUGAUGGGUGAGAAGGUUACAGAGGACACAACAAAACAUGUUAACCUCUCAGCAUUAGCGAUGGCAUUUUUGGGGGGUAUGAUCUUUGUGCCUCUGUUAAUUUCUCAGUCAUUAUUAUUCACGACUCAUUUACGAUUAUACAUAAUCAUGGUAGCAUCCACAUUAAUGUAGAAGUGUUCAGAGACAUCUUCUAAUCUUACUUACAAUAAAAGUGUCUCCAAAAUAACACAAUGCGUUAUUCACCAUUCAGUUCCUAUAGGGAAAAAUAUA